rnacentral:rRNA from 1 species
ACAUCCAGCGAACUUGGCAGAGAUGCCUUGGUGCCUUCGGGAACGCUGAGACAGGUGCUGCAUGGCUGUCGUCAGCUCGUGUUGUGAAAUGUUGGGUUAAGUCCCGNAACGAGCGCAACCCUUAUCCUUUGUUGCCAGCGAUUCGGUCGGGAACUCAAAGGAGACUGCCGGUGAUAAACCGGAGGAAGGUGGGGAUGACGUCAAGUCAUCAUGGCCCUUACGAGUAGGGCUACACACGUGCUACAAUGGCGCAUACAAAGAGAGGCGACCUCGCGAGAGCAAGCGGACCUCAUAAAGUGCGUCGUAGUCCGGAUCGGAGUCUGCAACUCGACUCCGUGAAGUCGGAAUCGCUAGUAAUCGUGGAUCAGAAUGCCACGGUGAAUACGUUCCCGGGCCUUGUACACACCGCCCGUCACACCAUGGGAGUGGGUUGCAAAAGAAGUAGGUAGCUUAACCCUCGGGAGGGCGCUUACCACUUUGUGAUUCAUGACUGGGGUGAAGUCGUAACAAGGUAGGCGUAGCGAG